rnacentral:rRNA from 1 species
UACGUAGGGACCGAGCGUUGUCCGGAUUCAUUGGGCGUAAAGAGCUCGUAGGCGGCUGCUCAAGUCGAAUGUGAAAACUCGAGGCUCAACCUCGAGCCUGCAUUCGAUACUGGGCGGCUAGAGUCUGGUAGGGGGAUCUGGAAUUCCUGGUGUAGCGGUGGAAUGCGCAGAUAUCAGGAGGAACACCGGUGGCGAAGGCGGGAUCCUGGCUCAUUACUGACGUUCAGGUACGAAAGCGUGGGUAGCAAACAGG